rnacentral:rRNA from 1 species
AUUGAACGCUGGCGGCAUGCCUUACACAUGCAAGUCGAACGGUAGCGGGCCUUCGGGUGCCGACGAGUGGCGAACGGGCGAGUAAUGUAUCGGAACGUACCUUUCAGUGGGGGAUAACGUAGCGAAAGUUGCGCCAAUCCCGCAUAUUAGGUGAGCAGGAAGGCAGGGGAUCGCAAGCCCUUGCGAGCAUGGAGCGGCCGAUUACAGAUUAGCUAGUUGGUGAGGUAAAGGCGAACGAAGGGGACGAUCUGUAGCGGGUCUGAGAGGAUGAUCCGCCACACUGGAACUGAGACACGGUCAAGACGCCUACGGGAGGCAGCAGUGGGGAAUUUUGGACAAUGGGGGCAACCCUGAUCCAGCCAAGCCGCGUGAGUGAAGAAGGCCUUCGGGUUGUAAAGCUCUUUCGGCCGGGAAGAAAUCGUAUCAGCUAAUACCUGGUGCGGAUGACGGUACCGGCAUAAGAAGCCCCGGCUAACUCCGUGCCAGCCGCCGCAGUAAGAC